CUUUUCAUGUGGAAACUCUGACCUACAGAGUUUUCAAUUAGCGACUUAUACGUACACAGAACUGCAAGAAAGUCAGCUGUUGUUUCUGAGAGCCACAUCAGUUAGCCGCAGCUAAAUCUGGAGUGCACUCCUAUUCGAGUAUUUAUGGGAAAUGCUCCCACACGGAGCUGCCCGUUGCUCUGCUGUUAUCAGCUGCUGUUUUAACAAAAACGCCAUUCAGGGUGAAAAUUCAACCGUGGUGUUGUGUCGGGAGAUGUAGUGACUUCCCCAGCGAAAACACUGGAGGAGGCAUGUGGAGAACAUAACCAUAUUCUUCAGAGGAAAAGAAGAAGGAGAGCAACAAAUAACCCCCAAACAAUAAAAUAAAUUCCUUUUAUAUUUC